rnacentral:rRNA from 1 species
UGGGGAAUAUUGGACAAUGGGCGCAAGCCUGAUCCAGCCAUGCCGCGUGAGUGAUGAAGGCCCUAGGGUUGUAAAGCUCUUUCACCGGUGAAGAUAAUGACGGUAACCGGAGAAGAAGCCCCGGCUAACUUCGUGCCAGCAGCCGCGGUAAUACGAAGGGGGCUAGCGUUGUUCGGAUUUACUGGGCGUAAAGCGCACGUAGGCGGACUUUUAAGUCAGGGGUGAAAUCCCGGGGCUCAACCCCGGAACUGCCUUUGAUACUGGAAGUCUUGAGUAUGGUAGAGGUGAGUGGAAUUCCGGGUGUAGAGGGGAAAUUCGUAGAUAUUCGGAGGAACACCAGUGGCGAAGGCGGCUCACUGGACCAUUACUAACGCUGAGGUGCGAAAGCGUGGGGAGCAAACAGG